rnacentral:rRNA from 1 species
GAUGAACGCUGGCGGCGUGCCUAAUACAUGCAAGUCGAGCGAACGGACGAGAAGCUUGCUUCUCUGAUGUUAGCGGCGGACGGGUGAGUAACACGUGGAUAACCUACCUAUAAGACUGGGAUAACUUCGGGAAACCGGAGCUAAUACCGGAUAAUAUUUUGAACCGCAUGGUUCAAAAGUGAAAGACGGUCUUGCUGUCACUUAUAGAUGGAUCCGCGCUGCAUUAGCUAAUUGGUAAGGUAACGGCUUACCAAGGCAACGAUGCAUAGCCGACCUGAGAGGGUGAUCCGGCACACUGGAACUGAGACACGGUCCAGACUCCUACGGGAGGCAGCAGUAGGGAAUCUUGCGCAAUGGGCGAAAGCCUGACGGAGCAACGCCGCGUGAGUGAAGAAGGUCUUCGGAUCGUAAAACUCUGUUAUUAGGGAAGAACAUAUGUGUAAGUAACUGUGCACAUCUUGACGGUACCUAAUCAGAAAGCCACGGCUAACUACGUG